GGGCCUGUAGCUUAGCCUGGAUAAAGCGUCCGCCUUCUAAGCGGAAGACCGUGGGUUCGAAUCCCUCCAGGCCCG
rnacentral:tRNA from 1 species